CGGGGGCUGGUGUAAUGGUAACAUACAGGCUUCGGGUGCCUGGGAAAAGAGUUCGAAUCUCUUGCCCCCGA
rnacentral:tRNA from 1 species